GAGGCUAGUGGGUGGCAACACCAUGUACAUAAUGACAUAUUUAGGAGAGGAGAAAGAGGUGCAAGUUAAGCUAGAAAGAAAAAAAAGAAGAACCAGGCAAAAUACCAACUGGAACAUCGUGACUCCAGGGUUUUUGCAUUUCUGACUGUUGCGUUCAUACUGAGGCACAGAGAACAUGUCGUCGCUGGAAGCCGGUCUGUGCAACUUGUUCAAGGUAUUACCUCUGCUGCCUAGGUAGCAGUGAGGCUGCACAACCAUUCCUACGCAGCACUGGCGUCUGCCCUCCUGCCCAUGCCCAUCUUCACCACCCUGAGCACAUUUGGAAGUUAGCACCCCACCAGGUACAUCAGGACAGGCUCAGCACUGACAGCUGCCGACAGCUAACAGGCUGCCUGCGUAACAGCCCUGCGGACGAGAAGCAGAACAUCCUGUGCGUGCGGCUGCUCCAAGAGCAGCUCUUGCAGAACAGCGUGUAUAGAGUCAGCAGGUUGCUUAUAUUUUAAACAUGAAAGCCGCUGAUGCCAUGCCCCUCGUUCGUCAGUGGCAUGCUGUGGGAAUAGUGCAGUGAGAUACAGCAUUUUCAUUAGGCCGAUUUUUGGAUGGCUGCCUUCUCAUCUGAAAUGAAGCGCUGGUCUGCCUGAGCUCAAGGUGUGAAGAUAAGGAAAGGAGAAAAGAAAUUAAGCAAGGAACACAAAUGAAAUAUAUAGUCAAUGUUCUUUUAUCUGGCCUGGACAGAAAGUGUCCUUGCCUUUUUUUUUCACCCCAGACUCCAAGCAAGCUGCUUAGCUUUGCAUACUACUUCGGCACUGUGAUACAAUCUAUGCCAACACCCAAGAUUCACAUUUGCUUUUAUUUUGCUUUCUAUUAAAUAAAGCAUGUAGAAAAGACGCCUUUAUAGCUUCAGGGCAAUUUUUCAUGAACUGACAUUGCAUAUUACUCAUUUUGUACCAGCGUGGUCCGCUUGCCAUUUCUUCUGUAAUACUGAAAAAGUCCAAAGCUGGUACUUAAUAAA